rnacentral:rRNA from 1 species
UACGAAGGGGGCUAGCGUUGCUCGGAAUCACUGGGCGUAAAGCGCACGUAGGCGGCGUCUUAAGUCAGGGGUGAAAUCCUGGAGCUCAACUCCAGAACUGCCUUUGAUACUGAGAUGCUUGAGUCCGGGAGAGGUGAGUGGAACUGCGAGUGUAGAGGUGAAAUUCGUAGAUAUUCGCAAGAACACCAGUGGCGAAGGCGGCUCACUGGCCCGGUACUGACGCUGAGGUGCGAAAGCGUGGGGUGCAAACAGG